rnacentral:tRNA from 4 species
GGGGCUAUAGCUCAGCUGGGAGAGCGCCUGGAUCGCACCCAGGAGGUCGCCGGUUCGAGUCCGGCUAGCUCCA